AUUGAACGCUGGCGGCAUGCCUUACACAUGCAAGUCGAGCGGUAAGGCCCUUUCGGGGGUACACGAGCGGCGAACGGGUGAGUAACACGUGGGUGACCUGCCUUUAGCUCUGGGAUAAGCCUGGGAAACUGGGUCUAAUACCGGAUAUGACCUCAUGAUGCAUGUUGUGGGGUGGAAAGUCUUGUGCGGCUGGAGAUGGGCCCGCGGCCUAUCAGCUUGUUGGUGGGGUGAUGGCCUACCAAGGCGA
rnacentral:rRNA from 1 species